GGCCUCGUGGCGGAAUGGCUACGCGGGGGAUGUGCAAAUCUCCUUCAUCCCCGGUUCGAAUCCGGGGCGAGGCCUCCA
rnacentral:tRNA from 1 species